UACAGAGGUGGCAAGCGUUGUUCGGAAUUACUGGGCGUAAAGGGCGCGUAGGCGGCCUUCUAAGUCAGACGUGAAAUCCCCCGGCUUAACCUGGGAACUGCGUCUGAUACUGGAGGGCUUGAGUGCGGGAGAGGGAUGUGGAAUUCCAGGUGUAGCGGUGAAAUGCGUAGAUAUCUGGAGGAACACCGGUGGCGAAGGCGGCUUGCUGGGCAUUGUCUGACGCUGAGGCGCGAAAGCGUGGGGAGCGAACAGG
rnacentral:rRNA from 1 species